rnacentral:lncRNA from 1 species
CUUUGGCACGCCUUGGUAUGAAAACCAAUCAUCCAUGGUUCUUUUCCAUGAUAAAUAAUCAUCUGGCCAACUACUACCUGAAAAGGAAUAAAUCUUAACUUCAUUAACUGAUUUAAAAUAAAGAUAAGAAUGAGUUAAGUAUUUAUAAGUUGAAGAAGUAUGGUGUGAGGUGAUCCAUGAAGGAUCUGGUGGCUUAGGCUCAACAUAGCCAGUCUCUGGUGCAUCUCCAAAUCUUCUUUCUCUAUGUUGUGGUCGUCGGCCUUGUGGCUUAUUCUUUUUUCCCAACUGAGCAAUCUUAUCAUUGAGCUCUUGUAUAGCUAUUAGUUGUUGGCUCAGUGUGGCCUCUAGGGUUUGGCCGUGUGCUUCCCCUACCAUUGCUCCCUGAAAUCAAUCUCAAAGAUCAAGUGAAGUAUGGGAAGUUUUGGUCAAGCAUAAGAGCAAUGAUCAAUGCAAAACUAAUUUAAACUAAACCGAGAAAAAUGCAAGUAUAAACCGAAAUGAAGUAACUAUGCAAUAAAUAAUUUUUCUUUUGGUUUUCUGAUGCAAUCACGAAAUGGACCAACUAAUAUGGCAUGAAACAAUAACUAGUAUGAUUUUUUUUUUCUUAAGGAUAUGCAAACAAAGGAAACAAAUUCAAAAUAGCAAUUUUUAUGGGAUUUUUGAUUAUGGAAACAAAACAAAAAGGAAACUAACAAGAAUUUCGAAACUAAGUGCAAGUAAUAUGAAUCAAACACAUCUUUCUUUUUAUUUUUCGUGGUUUAUAAGAACACCAAGAACAAAAUAUGCAGAAACAAAAACUUGAAGCAAAAGACUGUUUUUAUGAGUUUUCGGUUUUAGAUAAAAAACAAAAAAAAUGCAAGCAAAUGAAAUAUGAUGCAAGGAUAGAUAUCACCUUAGUCAGGAGCUUGAGCUCUGAUACCAAAAUGUUGUAGGCACAGGGGGGGUAACCCACGAAUUGAUAAAAAUGGUGGAACCAAGGUUUAAACCUGAAAACAAAGAGAACCGAUUUUUAUGAGUUUUUAGAGUUUUAUAAUGCAAACAGAAACAAAUAUGAAAACAAAUGAGAUGAUGAUGAUAAUGAUAAUAAAACAAGAUAAAUAAACAAAGGAUAGGAUGGAAUCAGGCUGCUGGAUGUGUAUCACUCUCAGCUUGAUCAAAUGAUGGCUUGAAGUGGAUUUGCGGAGGAAGGUUUGAUUGAAUCUCUCAAUCUGAUGGAAUGAUGGAUCGAAGUGAUUGACUCUCUCAAUCUGUGUACUGAGCUUGUUUGAUUUGCACAAACAAACUAGACUCACGAAAUCAAUAAGACAACAAAGAAUCUCUCUUUGAAUCCUAAAGACCGAUAUUUUAUACAAAGAACAACUUUGAUAAAACUGAAUAAACUUUCUAUUAACUUGGUGAUUAAGGGUGUCUCUUUACAAUGACUAUCUAAGAGCUUAUAUAAUGCUCUGGAAACUAAUUCUAACGUUCAUAAUAAGAAAAGAAAGGAAACAAAUCAAGCAAACUAACAAAAUCGAAAACUAGCCGUUGGAGCCUUUUAUGGGAUUUUGGCUCCAAGUGAGAAACUUGAUUCUUCUUGAACCUGGACGGUUUAAGGGGAUAAGAGAGCUUUCUUGGGACCUUCUUGAAUGCUUGAUAGAUGCUGAUCUCGUCCUUGCCUUGGUAGAAAAAGAGCUGUUGGAGUUUGAACGCAAGAGACUCCAAAUAAGGCAGUUUGGUGAUAAUGAGGAUCUUCUUAUUCCUAUGUGGGCUGGUGCAUGGGAUGAAGUUGUAGAACUCUUCUGGCUCCUGUAUAAUGUCUCCUGGAUGUCUUGGUUUAGUCUGGACGUCGUCUGGUUCUCCUGGUUGGAUUGAAAUUGCUUGGAAUGGAUCAAACCGAAAGAUUGUCCAAUCUUUCCAUAAAUAGCUCCGGUUUGAUUUAAGUGAUUCUCUAUUGAACCGACUGAUCUCCUGGGUUCUGGUGCAGCUAAGGACUUCUGGAAUACCUCCUGAUUGGUUGAAAUGAUCUCCUGGUCGCCAAUUUCUGGUUUGAAACUGAUUGAACCGGUUAGCUUCCAAUUGAGGCGAGUGUAGCACUGGUUUGACCGGUUCUGGCAAAUUGAGCAUAUCUUCUGAUUUCCGUGUCCAUUUCUCCUUAUCUUUGGCUUUAUGGAAAGCUGAAAGAAUUCUAUUGAAUUUGAUGACAGGCUUUGCUUCAGGCCGCUCCUUACUUGAGCUUAAAUCUCCUUCGAAAGUCGGAUACUCGCAGAUGGACGGGCUGAGAAACCUCUGAGUUGUAAAAUUCAUAACUUUUUGCUCCGUGAAAAUGUUGGCCCAAUUCCAAUUGGCUUGGACUCCUUAUUGAGUGUAGAAUCCAUAAAAAUUAGCCUCGUGAUUUAAACCCUCCUGGUUUGUAAGAUAUGGCAUUUUGAGUGCACAUAUGUCCUGGUUAUGGCAUUUUGAGUGCACGUAUGUCCUGGUUUGCGCCUUGGCUGGUUGAGUAGGGCUUUGGGUUGACCUCCGGUUCAGUUGCUGAUCUGAUGACCACAUCAUCCCCUCCCUCUUGACAAGGUUUCGACCUCGAAACUGUAUAAUCUGCACCAAGAUGGAGCAAGUCAGCUUUCAUUCUCUUUUGAGAUUCUAAAGCCUUACCUUGGCAUUGUUUUGGUUUUGCUUCUUUAAGCAAUAUGGACUGCAUUGUCUCUUGAACAAUCUUCUGGUCCAUCACAAGAGUCACGCCUGGUGGUUCUUCUUCUUUAAAUUCUUGCUCCUUAGUUCCUGUUACAUCACCCUUUGACAAAGACAAGUGCAUCAUACAAGAAUUUUGAGCUAAUAAAUCAGAUUGAAUAAAACUAUCACUCUUUAUAGAUAAAUCGGUUUUCUUUUCUAGUGAUGUCUCUAUCAAUACUUGUUUACUUGGACAAACUACAGCAAAGUGUCCUCUUUUAUGACAUCUAUAACAUGUCUGAUCUUUUAAAUUUUCAGGGUUAGAAGACUUACAUUGGCUUGUUGUCUCUUCUUUCUUUGGGCUUGGAAUCUCUUUAUUCCUUAAGUCAUGGACAAUUUUUGAUUCCAACAAGGAUGUUGAGUUUGUGUCUUUGUGGACCUCAGGACCUGUCUUAACAUUCUUGGACAAAGACAAGUGACUCAUACCAGUGGGAGAUGAUUUAUAAACAAAUUUAUCAAGUAUAGGACUUACCUUGGCCUUUCCUUGAAGAAUUGGUUUGUCUGAUUUUUCUUUGUGUCUAGCCAAUGUGUCUGGGCUGAAAAGGUUCUUCUCCAUGGACCUUGGGACCUCAUAAGGUUGGUAUUUAUCAUAUAAAACCGUGGGCAUCUGGCUUGGCCGAAUCUGGUCUUGAUAUAUCAAGCUUCUAUGGCCUUGUUGUGGCACAACUUUCUUUGCCUCUUUGGAUACACCAUUUGAAAAUCUCCUUGGGUAUUUUCUUCUGGUUUCUUGCGUGGGAAGUGUAGUCACAUACUUCCUGAUCAUAAUAUCUUUAAGAUCUUUCCAGUUGGUGACAACCUCUUCUGGACUUUUACCAUGUGUCUUAUCUACUCUUUUCCACCAUGAGUAAGCUUUUCCGGAAAGUUGCUUGAUGGCAUGAUCUAGCCUCUACUUCUUUGGCACGCCUUGGUAUGAAAACCAAUCAUCCAUGGUUCUUUCCCAUGAUAAAUAAUCAUCUGGCCAACUACUACCUGAAAAGGAAUAAAUUUUAACUUCAUUAACUGAUUUAAAAUAAAGAUAAGAAUGAGUUAAGUAUUUAUAAGUUGAAAAAGUAUGGUGUGAGGUGAUCCAUGAAGGAUCUGGUGGCUUAGGCUCAACAUAGCCAGCCUCUGGUGCAUCUCCAAAUCUUCUUUCUCCAUGUUGUGGUCGUCGGCCUUGUGGCUUAUUCCUUUUUCCCAACUGAGCAAUCUUAUCAUUGAGCUCUUGUAUAGCUAUUAGUUGUUGGCUCAGUGUGGCCUCUAGGGUUUGGCCGUGUGCUUCUCCUACCAUUGCUCCCUGAAAUCAAUCUCAAAGAUCAAGUGAAGUAUGGGAAGUUUUGGUCAAGCAUAAGAGCAAUGAACAAUGCAAAACUAAUUUAAACUAAACCGAGAAAAAUACAAGUAUAAACCGAAAUGAAGUAACUAUGCAAUAAAUAAUUUUUCUUUUGGUUUUCUGAUGCAAUCACAAAAUGGACCAACUAAUAUGGCAUGAAACAAUAACUAGUAUGAUUUUUUUUUUUAAGGAUA